GCCCCAACAACUCCACCUCCAGUCCAGUCCGUUUGUCCUCCACCCAAAUGGAGGCUGGUGUAUUUCCUCUAUUUAACCAAAGGAAGUGACAGAAUAAGCAGCAGAGGUGCUGUAUGUGAAGCUGUCUCAGUGAGCACCGGCCCUGUUGCACUUAUCUGAUGCUGCCGGUGAAACCACCAUAUUCAGUGCAUCAUACAAAAGAAGGACAUCAUGGCCUCCAGAGUCACUCUCUUCAUCUUCUGUUAUUUUCUCUUCCUAAGUAAGUUCCAUUUUUAUUAGUGUGCUUCAAAUGAUUAACAUAAUUUUGGGGAUGAAAGGUAUUUUCAUUAGAAAUGAUGAACCAGUGUAGGGUUUUUAUAUAGUGGAACGACAGCAGUUUGUUUAACACAGUAAAUGAAAGGCAUGUUACCUGAUUAAUGCUUACAGGGAAAAUGGUGCUAUUUAAUUAUUUCAUAAAUAUUUCAUUAUUUUAAUGAAAUGAUAAGAGGAAUGUAAUCAGUAAGGAUCAGGCUUAAGUGUAUGCGUACCUUAGCAAACGUGCUGAGAGUUUAAAUGUGGAAAAUGUAGACUGUCAAAGAUCUGUAGAUGUUUGCUUACACUGUGUCAGUAUAGGGUGGGGAUUAGCUGGUAUUCUGUUGUUGGACAUGAGAAUGAAUGUGAUGAUAAUCGGUGGGAACCAGACAGCCCUGUUUCUCACAGCAUGUAAAGCCGCCAUUUGGAAAAAUUUACAGCAAAUCUGCUUCCGUCGUAAAUCAACACAACCAGGAAAUUGGUCAACACCCAGAGGCUUGAGAAUGGCUAGGAAGUCUAAAUCAUUCUGCCUACAAUAUAUAAAUAAUACUUUUCAUUUUUUAUAAUAUAAUCAUCACUUUAUGCUAACUAUUUAUUUCCAUAAUAGAAACCUGUGCACCUCAUUUUAGGUUUCAUUAACUGAUAAAGCAGUAAUUUGGUCUUGAAUUUGUAUAACCUAUAAUUGGUCUGUUUAAAUUGUGGGCAUUUAUGGGUAAACGCAGUGCUUCCAACAUUCUGACACUGACAUAAUUGUUUCUCCUCAUAUGUUACUUAGCUAAUUAUGAUCUUGAUGAUUAUGAUUAUGAUCAUUCUGUCUCUCCCAGACAUAAAGGUUCAGGCUUCAGCUUUCAGGUUGGAGAGCAUAGAUCAAACACAGAUUGGGCCAGACAAUAAGGUCUCAGAAAAAGAAUUUAUCAAGGCCAGGAAGCAUUAACAGGAACCUCCUAAGGGAGUCCUGGGAGAGAAACAGGGUUACACAGGAUGCAGCUUUUCACAGGUCUGCUGAUAUGUAAAGAGGAUGUCUGCACUGGAGGAUGAGGGAAUGUUGCCCUUUCGGUCAUCCUAUGUCAUCCAAUGUGCUAGGUGAAAGACAUGUACAAUGUAAAUCUCAAAAAGGAAAGACAAGAGCAUUUCCCAUCAGAUUACAGAGUCAGUGCUCAGGAAGAUAAGCUAUUUUUAAGGCACAUGUGUUUAAUUGUAUUGUUUGACAGUUUAUUAAUAAUUCAACUGCCAUACAUCUGUUCUGAGAGAAUAUCAUGUUCAGUUUGUUCAGUCCUUUAUAGCUUCAGGAGCCAUUUAGAGGACGUUUUCAACUAAAAACCGAAAACUUUUUAUACGUUUUGGCUGCUCGUUUACACGACAACCGCAUUUUGAGGCCUGGAAACGCAAACUUUUGAAACCAGCUUUCAAAGUGCAAGUUUUACAAUGCUGUUAGCAUCUCUGUGUAAACAUACAAAAAUGAGAAUCUGUGAAAACGAUGACGUCAUGCACACGCGUAUUACGUGUUCAGUUUAUAGGCAUGUACACGAAUACUUCAAAACAAUGCACGAGACAUUCAACACUACAGGACUGUGUUUGUGUUUGUCAAAUUUUGGAGUUUAUUGACACUUCUACAGCAAAGCGUAGAUUUACUGCAUCACUACUACGACCAGCGGAGAUGCAUUUGUUACAUACGCCACAUUAUCAACCCACAUCUACGCCGACAAAGGAUAUUCAAAAUCUUAUAAUCAUCUUUGUAAUUGUCUGUUUUGGAGUAAAUCUAUCCUUUUACUGCUAAUACAAUAUAGAAAGCAGAUUGACUGCCAGUGUCUCACGAUUUGAUUUGUAUUUGCUGAUUUUGUUCCAUUUUGGUACAAUGAUGGUCAAUUAUUUGUACUUAAAGAUGCAUUAUUUAGAUUUUUUUCAGUAUGUAAAAAUGAAUGAGUUUUGUUAACAGAAUUCUGACCUGGAGCACAAGAAAAGCUAAAAGAUGGGGUUGAAGACAGAAAAAUCCAUUUCCACAAUGAAAAAAUAUUUAUGUACAGUCCAUGUACAUUAAAUUAAAAUUCAUUAGGGACGUCUCAGCAUUUAUUAACCAAGAUAAAUAAGCCAAAUCUGUGCUUGACAAGCGUGAGUUUCCACAAUUCCUUAUGACAAUUAAUCAUUUUCCAAGUCUAACUAUCGAGAUUGUAAGUAACUGGAGACUGAACUUUUUUGUACUCAAUAUAGAUCAUAAACCAUUGAAAUUGUUUGAGAAAUGUAAUGAACGGGGAUCAUUUUGACAACGUUGUCGUCUAUACGUCAAACUUUUCAAAAACGCAAAGGAAAAACUGGUCUGUUUUUAGUACAUCGUUGUCGUGUAAACGUACCCUCAGUGGUUGGUCACAUCAACAGCAGACUUGAAUAAAAUACUAGAUACACUGUCUAUUUAUACAAUUACUGACUGUAGACGCCACCCUGACACCCUAUCAAUAGAGUGAGACCACUAUGGCACUCCAGCCCUACAUCAUGCCAGUGUCAGUGCUGUAUUGAGAAUUAAUAACCAUUGAAAUAAUAUCUGGUGAGUGGUGGUCUCCUACCACUGAUGAAUGGGAUUGCGGAGGCUGGUAAACUGUUCAUAGCAACUGAUACACUCAGUAAGUGUGUAUCUACAAAUUGGUAGGUGUGUAUCUAAUAAAGUGAAUGUUGUCAAUUGAAUUCUAAAUGAAUAUGAAAAUCGAAUAGUAAAUGUUUUUUUUCUCGAUACCUUGAAAUAUCUAUCCAUUAUUUAGAAAAGUAUAUAAUGGACUAGUGUGCCAUGUGCAAGUAUAGCACACUAGUCACAAUAUGUUUUGUGACGCCUUACUGGUUUCAAUCUGAAAUCUUUAGUAUAGCCUCACUUUCCUAUCAGUGUUUUAUCUUGACUAUAUGCAAAUUAAUUUUCAGUCGAGUAACAUCAUAUUUUCUCACUGCUUAGCAAAUGAGAUUGAUGCUACUGAUACUACUUCCCCCAAUAACAUAUCAACAGAACCAACAAGACUAACAGAGACUAACAUCAAUGCAACAUCACCAACACCAUCAACAGUUGGAUCAACACAGUCUGUCCACUCUACUACUACUCGAGCUGGUGGGACGUCUAACCCCACUGAGCAACAGAGGACAUCAAAUACAUUGACCACUUCCAAACCCAUCAGCAGCACUACACUUGAA
ensembl:lncRNA